rnacentral:lncRNA from 1 species
AUGUCAGCCAGUUCUGAAACAGUAAACCCCUCGGUUCGCCCAAAGCGUCGUCCAGCCUAUUUACAAGAUUAUGAGGUGGACUUGCAGAGCUUCCAUAAAACAGUGUUACCAGUUAGUACGAGAGAACAACCAGUGGAGUCAUCUGAUGACGAUUACUCUUCGCCACAGGUUGGAGCAUCUGCUGCAAAGCCUAAGAGAGCACAUGGUUUACCCACCUUUCCUUCCUCUUCGAGGCUGACGGUCAGGGAUAAGCAUUGUGACCAUCCACGUCUUCUGCAGCAGCACAUUUCCAGUCCUGCCUACCAGUCAUCACCACAAUAUCCAAACCGACAGCUACAGUCUGAAUACAGUGCAAAGUUCGUUCCCCUUGGUGAUGAAGGUGAUGGAUACCAGAGCGACAGAUCAGAUGCUAGUUCCCUAAAGUUACAAAGGAUCUCAGAGGAGAAUCUAAAGCUUCGUGAAACACAGCAGGCCAUCCAAGCUGACCUUAAACGGAUUGAGACAGCCAAAGAUGAGCUGAUUCAGCUUUUAGACAGAGCCUGUAGUCUGCAAAGGCCUUUAUCUAUGUCCAACACCCGGUCUGAUUAUCCAUCAGUUAAAUUCCACGAUCCAGCAUAUGCAGAUGAUGAAGACUGGCCAGAGCCUCCUCCACCUGUUGCAUACGAUGAGCCAGAAAAUAUCAAUCAGUGCGGCAAGCAAAGGAUUAAGAGCACUUCAAGAGCCACACCAACAAUCACUCCUAGACUCACUUCUGUUGAAAAGACUAGGGAUUUCGGCUAUGCAAGUUCAUAUGAUAACCAGUUUAGGUAUGUCCAGUAUCCUGCCCGACAGAUAGGUCCUCCAUAUGCACAUGAACAACCAGGAAGUCUUUAUCCUGAACAACACAGGACAGUUUCCUAUAAUGUGUCACCUCCCAUGGCAUCUGUGGAUCUGACUGAGAAAUAUUACAAAGGUCCCUCGCCCACCAUUCCUUACUUCCGCAGUGGAUACGAUCCAAUAGGAGAUGCUGGCGUUGUGGUCUUGCCCAUCAGGCUGCCCAUUGUGGUCUAA